UUGUGACCACAUCACGUUGAAACACCGGUUUCCGUACGAUUACUAAAGUUAAGCAACAUUGAGUCUGAUCAGUACCUCAAUGGGUAACUGCUUGAAAAUACCAGUUGCUGUAAG